GGGUCAAUGGUGUAAUGGCAAGCAUGUGCGCUUACUACACGCAAGGCCCAGGUUCGAUUUCUGGAGGCCUCG